rnacentral:rRNA from 1 species
AGAGUUUGAUCCUGGCUCAGGAUGAACGCUAGCGACAGGCUUAACACAUGCAAGUCGAGGGGCAGCACAGGUAGCAAUACCGGGUGGCGACCGGCGCACGGGUGAGUAACGCGUAUGCAACUUGCCUAUCAGAGGGGGAUAACCCGGCGAAAGUCGGACUAAUACCGCAUGAAGCAGGGAUCCCGCAUGGGAAUAUUUGCUAAAGAUUCAUCGCUGAUAGAUAGGCAUGCGUUCCAUUAGGCAGUUGGCGGGGUAACGGCCCACCAAACCGACGAUGGAUAGGGGUUCUGAGAGGAAGGUCCCCCACAUUGGUACUGAGACACGGACCAAACUCCUACGGGAGGCAGCAGUGAGGAAUAUUGGUCAAUGGCCGAGAGGCUGAACCAGCCAAGUCGCGUGAAGGAAGAAGGAUCUAUGGUUUGUAAACUUCUUUUAUAGGGGAAUAAAGUGGAGGACGUGUCCUUUUUUGUAUGUACCCUAUGAAUAAGCAUCGGCUAACUCCGUGCCAGCAGCCGCGGUAAUACGGAGGAUGCGAGCGUUAUCCGGAUUUAUUGGGUUUAAAGGGUGCGUAGGUUGCAAGGGAAGUCAGGGGUGAAAAGCUGUAGCUCAACUAUGGUCUUGCCUUUGAAACUCUCUAGCUAGAGUGUACUGGAGGUACGUGGAACGUGUGGUGUAGCGGUGAAAUGCAUAGAUAUCACACAGAACUCCGAUUGCGCAGGCAGCGUACUACAUUACAACUGACACUGAAGCACGAAAGCGUGGGUAUCAAACAGGAUUAGAUACCCUGGUAGUCCACGCAGUAAACGAUGAAUACUAGAUCUAUGCGAUAUACAGUAUGGGUCUAAGCGAAAGCGAUAAGUAUUCCACCUGGGGAGUACGCCGGCAACGGUGAAACUCAAAGAGAUUGGCGGGGGUCCGCACAAGCGGAGGAACAUGUGGUUUAAUUCGAUGAUACGCGAGGAACCUUACCCGGGAUUGAAAUGUAGAUGCAUGAGGCUGAGAGGUCUCUUCCCUUCGGGGCUUCUAUGUAGGUGCUGCAUGGUUGUCGUCAGCUCGUGCCGUGAGGUGUCGGCUUAAGUGCCAUAACGAGCGCAACCCUUAUCUUCAGUUACUAACAGGUCAUGCUGAGGACUCUGGAGAGACUGCCGUCGUAAGAUGUGAGGAAGGUGGGGAUGACGUCAAAUCAGCACGGCCCUUACGUCCGGGGCUACACA